rnacentral:rRNA from 1 species
UACGUAGGGGGCGAGCGUUGUCCGGAGUUCCUGGGCGUAAAGGGCAUGCAGGCGGUCGGACGCGUUUCGGCUGGCAGCGGGUGGCUUCACUACCCGAGUGGUCGAAAGACGGUUUGACUUGAGGACGCGAGAGGGACACGGAAUUCCGGGUGGAGUGGUGAAAUGCGUAGAUAUCGUAAGGAAGACCAGUGGCGAAGGCGGGUCUCUGGACAGUUCCUGACGCUGAGGCACGAAGGUCAGGGGAGCAAACGGG